rnacentral:tRNA from 1 species
GCCUCCGUAGCUCAGUGGUAGAGCGCUCGCCUUGUAAGCGAGAGGUCAAGGGUUCAAAUCCCUUCGGGGGCU